CUCCUAUACCUCUAUCUCUUAAGCAGUGAUAUUUAUUUUGUCUCUACAAUAGUUUUUGAGAGUAGCAGAUCCAGAUGUUCGCAGGCAGACAAACAUUAAAACUAAAUUAGUGACAUCGAACUUUAGUUUCCGCUAUUUUAACCCCGCAUUUUUCUAAAGAAACGUAAAAAUAAAAUCUUACACAUCUUAGACGAGCCCACUCAUUUCAGAGUCUUGGCAAUAAUAGGAAAAUUGUAAAUAACCGAAAACGUACUGCCACCCGAGUGUCGCGCAACAAUUAAUCACGGGCGUCACGAACUGAGGAACUUCACGGUGAUCCGGGAGUUUGCGGGACAGUGUAUAUCAAGCUUUGUUAUCCUCGCCCGUCUCAGUUGCUACUCGGUUGUGAACACGCGUCGGCGACUGCUCCAAGAUGACUUCGGAAGGCACUAACCUGGUGGCGACCUACUGCAUCCUACUGCUCCUGCUGGUCUCACUGUGGUUGCUGUAUUCAGCAUUUUAGAAAUAAUCGACGGGAGAGUCCACCUACCAUGUGAUCCAGGAGGCGGCCAGAUGAAAUGCCACAAAAAACAUUAAAUUAAGAAACCGUAACCUUAGUAACUAAGUUAGUGAUAAGUAAGCCAUGUAAUAUACCCACGCAUUUAAGUAUACUAAGAACCACAAUCCUCGUCAUGCUGAAGACCUGCGAGCGACUUUUAGACAUCAACAUCAUACGCCAAAUUUUAACUAUUCAGUGCUGGGCAUUCCAAUUUAAUUAAACUCUUAACUAAAAAUGUAAGUGAAAGACAACUAAAUAGAAUGUCGUAUCUAAUACUUACGAGGUUGACCAUUGGCAAUAUUUUGCUGUUUGGUGCUGAUCAUCUCUAUUAAGAAUUUAUCGUUGUUAAGAUUAUUAAGCGUUUUUAAUAAAGUUUUUUAGAAGA